AUUGAACGCUGGCGGCAGGCCUAACACAUGCAAGUCGAGCGGAGCGGCGGACGGGUGAGUAAUGCCUAGGAAUAUGACUGGUAGUGGGGGAUAACGUCAGGUAACGGGCGCUAAUACCGCAUACUAUCAGAAGAGCCUAGGUCGGAUUCGCAGGUGGUUGGGGUAAAGGCAUACAAGGGCGACGAUCCGUAACUGGGCUGCGAGGAGGAUCAGUCACAUCGGAACUGUGAAACGGUGCAUACGCCGACGGGAGGCAGAAGUGGGGAAGUUUGGACAAGGGGCGAAAGCCGGAUCCAGCCAUGCCGCGUGUGUGAAGAAGGUCUUCGGAUUGUAAAGCACUUUAAGUUGGGAGGCGUUACCAACAGAAUAAGCACCGGCUAACUUCGUGCCAGCAGCCGCGGUAAUUC
rnacentral:rRNA from 1 species